rnacentral:rRNA from 1 species
AAAAACAUGGCUAUUAUGGGGUUAUUUAUAGUCUAGCCUGCUCACUGAUAGAAAUUAUUAAAUAGCCGCGGUAUCUUGACCGUGCAAAGGUAGCAUAAUCAUUAGUUUUUUAAUUGAAAACUUGUAUGAAUGGUUGGACAAAGAACAAACUGUCUCUUUUGUUUUUAUUGAAUUUAACUUUUAAGUGAAAAGGCUUAAAUAUUCUAGAGGGACGAUAAGACCCUAUAAAGCUUUAUAAAUUUAAAAAUCUUAUAUAUUUUUAUAUAAAAAUAAUUUUUGAGGAGUUUAUUUGGUUGGGGCGACAGUGGUAUAAGUAAUGUAAC